rnacentral:rRNA from 1 species
CGAACGCUGGCGGUAUGCCUAAUACAUGCAAGUCGAACGAGAAAGUUCCGCAAGGAGCGAGUAGAGUGGCGCACGGGUGAGUAACACGUGGGUGACCUUCCCUUUAGACUGGGAUAACCCUGAGAAAUCGGGGCUAAUACCGGUUACGAACAAUAAAACUGAAAGUAGUUGUUGAAAAGAGUGCCUCUGCUUGCAAGCACUCGCUAAAGGAUGGGCCUGCGGGGUAUUAGCUAGUUGGUAGGGUAAUGGCUUACCAAGGCGACGAUACCUAGCUGAUCUGAGAGGAUGAUCAGCCACACUGGAACUGAGACACGGUCCAGACUCCUACGGGAGGCAGCAGUAGGGAAUAUUGCGCAAUGGGCGAAAGCCUGACGCAGCAAUACCGCGUGAGUGAGGAAGGCCUUCGGGUUGUAAAACUCUGUCGGGGUGGAAAAACGGCUAAUGUUCUAACAGGGCGUUAGAUUGAUGGUACACCCAAAGGAAGCACCGGCUAACUUCGUGCCAGCAGCCGCGGUAAUACGAAGGGUGCAAGCGUUGUUCGGAUUUAUUGGGCGUAAAGCGCGCGCAGGCGGAUUGUUAAGCAAGAUGUGAAAUCUCGGAGCUCAACUUCGAAAGUGCGUCUUGAACUGGCGAUCUAGAAUAACGUAGAGGGAAGGGGAAUUUCUCAUGUAGGGGUAAAAUCCGUAGAGAUGAGAAGGAACACCGGAGGCGAAAGCGCCUUCCUGGCCGUUUAUUGACGCUGAGGCGCGAAAGCGUGGGGCAAACAGGAUUAGAUACCCUGGUAGUCCACGCCGUAAACUAUGAGCACUAGAUAUUGGGUCGCUGACAGAUUCAGUGUCGCAGCUAACGCGUUAAGUGCUCCGCCUGGGAAGUACGGUCGCAAGACUAAAACUCAAU